rnacentral:rRNA from 1 species
AGUGAACGCUGGCGGUAGGCCUAACACAUGCAAGUCGAACGGCAGCACAGUAAGAGCUUGCUCUUACGGGUGGCGAGUGGCGGACGGGUGAGGAAUACAUCGGAAUCUACUUUUUCGUGGGGGAUAACGUAGGGAAACUUACGCUAAUACCGCAUACGCCCUACGGGUGAAAGCAGGGGAUCUUCGGACCUUGCGCGAUUGAAUGAGCCGAUGUCGGAUUAGCUAGUUGGCGGGGUAAAGGCCCACCAAGGCGACGAUCCGUAGCUGGUCUGAGAGGAUGAUCAGCCACACUGGAACUGAGACACGGCCCAGACUCCUACGGGAGGCAGCAGUGGGGAAUAUUGGACAAUGGGCGCAAGCCUGAUCCAGCCAUACCGCGUGGGUGAAGAAGGCCUUCGGGUUGUAAAGCCCUUUUGUUGGGAAAGAAAAGCAGCAGGUUAAUACCCCGCUGUUCUGACGGUACCCAAAGAAUAAGCACCGGCUAACUUCGUG